CAGAAUCUACGCAGACAAACUUUCUCUGGAUUAUUCUAGUCUUUGCUCUAAUUUUUUUAAUGGCAGCAUGUUAUUUUCAUGGAAACAGGUACAGAUCAUCACUGGUGAGAAGUCUUAACUGCAGAAGGGACCAAAGCCUGUAGCUCAGCCUGGACCCGAUGUUUAUUUCCACAGAUCCGUCCCUUUCCUCUUCCCUGCACCCUUCUGUUUAGCCAUAUAGUUUUGCAGUGUCCCCUUCUACAGGACCAUCCCUUGACUUUAUGGUAAAUUAUGUGCCUUACUGUUUCCUAGGAAAACUUGAACUGUAAUUAGAAGAAUAAUUUAAGAAUUAAAUUAUC